AAAUCGGGCCAUCACACAGGUGCUGCAUGGCUGUCGUCAGCUCGUGCCGUGAGGUGUUGGGUUCAGUCCCGCAACGAGCGCAACCCUCGCCCUUUGUUGCCAUCGGGUAAAGCCGGGCACUCUAAGGGGACUGCCAGCGACAAGUUGGAGGAAGGAGAGGAUGACGUCAAGUCAUCAUGGCCUUUAUGCCUAGGGCCACACACGUGCAACAAUGGCCGGUACAGACGGAGGCAAUGCCGAGAGGCGGAGCAAACCCGAGAAAACCGGUCCCAGUUCGGAUUGAGGUC
rnacentral:rRNA from 1 species